GACGAACGCUGGCGGCAUGCCUAAUACAUGCAAGUCGAGCGGACUUGAUGAGAAGCUUGCUUCUCAGAUAGUUAGCGGCGGACGGGUGAGUAACACGUAGGCAACCUGCCCUCAAGCUUGGGACAACUACCGGAAACGGUAGCUAAUACCGAAUACUUGUUUUCUUCGCCUGAAGGGAACUGGAAAGACGGAGCAAUCUGUCACUUGGGGAUGGGCCUGCGGCGCAUUAGCUAGUUGGUGAGGUAACGGCUCACCAAGGCGACGAUGCGUAGCCGACCUGAGAGGGUGAUCGGCCACACUGGGACUGAGACACGGCCCAGACUCCUACGGGAGGCAGCAGUAGGGAAUCUUCCGCAAUGGGCGAAAGCCUGACGGAGCAAUGCCGCGUGAGUGAUGAAGGUUUUCGGAUCGUAAAGCUCUGUUGCCAGGGAAGAGCGCUUGGGAGAGUAACUGCUCUCAAGGUGACGGUACCUGAGAAGAAAGCCCCGGCUAACUACGUGCCAGCCGCCGCAGUAA
rnacentral:rRNA from 1 species